rnacentral:rRNA from 1 species
UAAGGAAUAUUGCUCAAUGGGAGAAAUCCUGAAGCAGCAACGCCGCGUGGAGGAUGAAGGGUUUUUAACUUGUAAACUCCUGUAAAGAAGGAAAAAAUUCCCAUUAGAUGGGAAAUGAUGGUACUUCUGGAGUAAGCCCCGGCUAACUACGUGCCAGCAGCCGCGGUAAUACGUAGGGGGCAAGCGUUGUCCGGAUUUACUGGGUGUAAAGGGUGCUCAGGCGGAUUUGUAAGUCAGAGGUGAAAUCUCACAGCUUAACUGUGAAACUGCCUUUGAUACUGCAAGCCUAGAGUAUGGAAGAGAGUGAUGGAAUAUCUGGUGUAGCAGUGAAAUGCGUAGAUAUCAGAUAGAACACCAAUGGCGAAGGCAGUCACUUGGUCCAUAACUGACGCUAAAGCACGAAAGCGUGGGUAGCAAAACAGGAUUAGAUACCCUGGUAGUCCACGCCCUAAACGAUGAAUACUAGAUGUUGGCUUCGCAUGAAGUCAGUAUCUGAGCUAACGCAUUAAGUAUUCCACCUGGGAAGUACGAUCGCAAGGUUGAAACUCAAAUGAAUUGACGGGGUCAUAGCUGUUUCCUG